UUCAGCGCAUCUGGGGUGGUGGAGCCACAGGGUUUGUGUGCCUCAGGGACUGCCUGGUGAUGCUGAUACGGCAGUUGGGGACCACAUCUUGAGAAUCACUGGGUUAGGCCCUGUUCAGACCUUUGUGAGUCACUUACCUAUAUCACUUGCCUGGCCCCUAUUUAAAUUUGUAAAUCCAGCUUUAAAUCUUCCUUGGUAUCAUUAUUCUAAUGAACUAGUGUUUCUAGUUUUGAAAAGCACAUCUUUCAUAACUAAGGGGAACCAUGAAAUAUUUGUUCCUGUUUGAGCCUAUGGGAUAAAAGUAGCCUUUUUUAAAAAAAAUCUUUUUUUUGGAAUGCAUUUUUAUUGAGAAAAAUGAGAAAGUUACUAAGAACAAAACUGUUCUGUCGAAUUUAUUUUAUAUAUCCUGUGCUAUGGUCUGAAUAUUUGUCCUCCAAGUGUAUAUACCGACAGACUAAUCCCCAAAGUGCUGGUGUUAAUAGGUGGAGACUUUGUGAUGUGUUUCUAUUAUGAGGGCAAAGCCUUGGGACUGAUCUCAGUGUUUUUAUGAAACUAGCCCAGGGAAGCUAGUUUACCUUUUCACCAUGUGAGGACAGAGCUAGAAGUUGGCAUCUGAGGAAUGAACCCUCCCAACGCUGAAUCAGCGAGCACUUUGAUCUUGGACUUCCAGCCUCCAGAACUCAUUCAGGUAACACAAGAGCCAGUCAGAGACUCAAAGCACAGGAAACUGCCAAAAAGAUGUUGCUUUUGCUUGAGGCUCCAAAGGACACAGAUGCUCCAACAGAAGCAGUAGGCAGUCUACACGGCUUCCUGGUGUUUUCUUAAGUGAGCCAUACUGUCGCUGGUUUCUAAAUUGCAAAACAACAUAAAUUCAACAAUAAUAACACAACCAGUUAGAUUGUGACAAGCUUUUCCUUUCUCUAAGGGAAGAAAAAAGAAAAAGAAAACACACAAUGGAGGGUUAAAUAAAUAAUAAGUUAAAAAAGAGAAAAAUGUAAAGAAAAAGCCAGUUAAAACAGGCUUGUGUUUACUUCGGGCAACUCUGUGCAAACAGGAAACGUGAUUUUCAGCAGGAUGACAGGUCCCGGCAUGCCUCCUUCCCAAAUAAUACUGACAAGAAAGAAGAGACGUAAGACUGACUCAGCGGCGCCUGCUCAGAGGCACACUAAAAAUCCGUUUCAUUAGAGCACAGGGCUUCCUGCUCAGCACAAAUAUCCAUGUAUUUGUUCAAAAAGCCAUAAUAAUGUUAAUACAGACAACAGUUUAAAAACAAUGUGAAACAGGCUCACUUUCGAUUGAUAAAAAACUCCAAGUGUCAGUAACAUAUAAUUCUAAAUCAUUACGUGUUCAAUAACAUUUUCAAAUACACAAAAAAGAAGUUGAUAGAUACACUGUUAUAUUAGACAAUUAGCACAUCUUCCUGAAUAACUGGCAGAUUGAUUAGAAAAGA